AAAGAUUCAAAAAGAUUCGAAAAGAUUCAAGGUGAUUUGGCGGGAUUAAUAGAAAAAAGGACGCACGUCAGUUAUAUCGAAAUAACUGAAUCAUUUCGUUCAGUGUUUGUUUUGAUCUGACUGCUGAUGCUGAUCGUGCAUAACAAAAAGUGAUUCUUCAUUUCAUAAAUACGAAAUCAGUACGACUGCAGCGAUCGACACGAUCGAUCGUGAUCGCGGUGUGCUCACCAGAAAGUAAACUCGAUCGGAGUAUAAACGAAAAAUUAACUGGCAAUAUAGCGCUAGAUCGCUGCGCCAUUUUCCGCUCUUUUGUAGCAAAAGAGCACCCAGAAGCAGAAGAAGAAGAUAAAUACGAAAUCGAGGUCGAAAUGAAAGUUGCUGGAAAGAGUGGCGUCCGCGUUUCCAUCCGGCAUCGCCGUCAUCCCCCCGAGGUGCAUAUGAAAACUGAAAAAAGUGGACGCAAUCAUCCCGCAAUGCAUCCGGUGUCCAAUGACUGUUAACGGCCGCUCAUCGCCGGAACUUGUGCCAAAGUUACAUCGCGUUACUAAUAAGGAUCGUCCAUCGCGACCUGAGACAUCGCGACGAUUCCUUCGCCAGCACCAGUGGAGCGGGUCCGAUAUUCGCGAACUUCCGAAUCGGAGAAAGCUCCCACGAGUCCCACGCCGAAGCCACGAAGCAUUCUGGAGUAUCGACCUAUGAAGGUACGUCAGCAAAAGUCACCACCACCCACCAAGAAACUUGUGCCGAAAAGAUGCGCGUGUCAAAUUGAUGGCCUAUCGAAGCAACGCCGCUCAAAUCACCAUCAUGCGAAUCGGAGAAAUCCAGUGAAAGUUUACUGAACAGUUUCACGGCAUCAAAAUGGUCCAGUGGAGUUGCUCUACCGGUACGGUAUGGAUAUUCCCUUGCGUCGGCUGGUCUUCACCAAAGAAUAAUUGAUGACGACCGAUCACAGAUGCCUAUCUUCGUGGGACGAUAUUUAAUACGAGUAAUACAAGAAAGUUUUUUUCACCCAACCAAAAAAUCGAUUAGGUUCUAUUCACCCAAAUUUGAGUACUGUGCAAGACACUCAACGUUGAGUUGACGCACUCGAACUGCAGAAGUUGGGCUAUUUCGCUCUUCUUUCUCUGACAACAAAAGAAAGAGCGCAUGAAAAGGGAGAUGAAAAAGAACUCAAAUUUGAAUUUAAAAGAACUCAAAUUUGAGUUGUUCAGUUUCUCCGUGUGUGCUCCUGCAGGUACGUCCUCUCCUCCCUUUCCACCGACAUCGACACCAAUGGGCCUGUCAACUUGCGUAUUUUGGAUUCACCUUCACGUAUUGAAAAAGUGUAUUUUGCAUUUAUGGCAGUUUUGACAGCUGGUGUAUUACGUGUAUUUUUGUAUAUAUUAUUGUAUAUUAAAUAAAGGCCUUUUCGUAUUUUUAGUGUA